UUGAAAGGGAAACGAUUGAAGUCAGUCGGCCCGCGCUUUUCACCCUUUCGAGUGGUGAUUUGGAGUUUUGAAGUAUUCAAACCUUUGAUAUUUUAAAAUUUUCGCUCUUUUGGUGUACUUUCUCGGGGGUCGUCGAACAUCGUUUUUGAUCAUCAUAAAAAGACUGGAGGAAUGUAGCUUCGCUCUUGUAUUGUCGUGUUGUCGCUUUUGGAAAAUGUGAUGAUUAGGAUCGAGGAUUGCAACGAAUACCCUUCUGGACCAUCCGUUUGAUCACUGAUACGGGGCCGUGACUUCGAAAGCUUGCUUAUGGUAUCAAGGUAUUACGGUUUCAAGGUUAGAACAGAUUACAUUCGUUAAGGAUGUUGACGUA
rnacentral:rRNA from 1 species